GUAGACAUAGUUUAACAAAGACACCAGCAUGUGACCCUGGAGAUAGAGAAUAAGACCUCUUGUCCACC
rnacentral:tRNA from 1 species